UUCUGUGGUUAGCUUGCAAAGGGCUGUCACCUCAUCUUGCUGGUAGACCAUUUCCUCUCUAGCUUCCUCACUCUGAUAGAGCAAGUGCCAUGCUGGAGAGGCGCCUGCGGCAGGGGACUGAGAGAGAAGCCUCUAGCUAACAGCCAGAGAAGAACCCAAGUGUCCAAUCUACUAGGCCACAGGGAGCUGAAUCCUGUCAACAAGCUCGUGACCUUGGAAGUGGACCCUUCUCCAGCUGAGCCUUCAGAUUCUUACAGCCCAGCUCACACUGUGAGUGCAGCCUGGGAGUUGACCCAGAAACAGAGGGCCCAGUGAAACCACACCGGGGGUUCUAGACCUACAGACACUGGAAUGAAACACAGUGCAGCAGCGUCGUCCCUGGGCAGGGGAAUGAGAGCCCCUGGCAUCUGUCUCCUCGGGCGGGCCUCCGAUGCCUACGCUGUGCUCCAGCCAAAAACCACUGGAAAGAAGCAUGAAAUCGGAGAAAAGGAAACCAGGAGGGGAGGAUCAAAGGCAGCACCAUGGACUUAAAAGCAAUAAAAGAGCUUGUGAGGGGCCGGGGACCAGGGCCGCGCAUUACCAACACGCCGGCAGGGGUGCAGGAGAAAGGAAGCCGCGGAAGGUCAAACUAGGGGAAUUUCACAUCUUGGCUAAAUGUUCAUUAAAUAAUUUGUCAUACA